GGAGGCGGAUGAGUACUGGUGUCUUAAUUGGAGAGGGGCCCUAGUUCUGACCCCAUAUAAUCUUGGUGCUCUGUUUUCAGGAAGUACAACAUCAUUUUGGGAUAAGACAGGA